UUCUCAUGGUCAUGGGAGAAAGAUGGCUGCUUCUCGACGAGGUCUACAUACGCGGCAAAAUUCUGGGGCAGAGAAGUGAUCCCUAUGGCAGAUUUCACCUGGAGAUCGAGGGCUUCGCUUCGCUGUCGCUUCUUCGCGUGGCUGGCCUUCCAGAACAGAUGUUGGACGGCGGACCGGCUAGCCCGGCGUGGCCUGGAUCACCCGGAGCGUUGCCCUUUUUGCGACCAGCAUGAGGAAAGCAGCAGCCAUCUUUUGCUUGCUUGUGUGUUUGCCACUGAGGUCUGGGCCAUUGUCUCGGCAGCCGCAAAUAAACCAAGAUGGGCGCCAACGGCAGGGGAG
rnacentral:rRNA from 1 species